ACUCCUACGGGAGGCAGCAGUGGGGAAUAUUGCACAAUGGGCGCAAGCCUGAUGCAGCCAUGCCGCGUGUAUGAAGAAGGCCUUCGGGUUGUAAAGUACUUUCAGCAGUGAGGAAGGUGGGUAUGUUAAUAGCAUACUCAUUUGACGUUAGCUGCAGAAGAAGCACCGGCUAACUCCGUGCCAGCAGCCGCGGUAAUACGGAGGGUGCGAGCGUUAAUCGGAAUUACUGGGCGUAAAGCGCAUGCAGGUGGUUUGUUAAGUCAGAUGUGAAAGCCCGGGGCUCAACCUCGGAAUUGCAUUUGAAACUGGCAAACUAGAGUACUGUAGAGGGGGGUAGAAUUUCAGGUGUAGCGGUGAAAUGCGUAGAGAUCUGAAGGAAUACCGGUGGCGAAGGCGGCCCCCUGGACAGAUACUGACACUCAGAUGCGAAAGCGUGGGGAGCAAACGAGGAUUAGAUACCCUGGUAGGCGUUG
rnacentral:rRNA from 1 species